GAUGAACGCUGGCGGCGUGCCUAAUACAUGCAAGUCGAGCGAACGGACGAGAAGCUUGCUUCUCUGAUGUUAGCGGCGGACGGGUGAGUAACACGUGGAUAACCUACCUAUAAGACUGGGAUAACUUCGGGAAACCGUAGCUAAUACCGGAUAAUAUUUUGAACCGCAUGGUUCAAAAGUGAAAGACGGUCUUGCUGUCACUUAUAGAUGGAUCCGCGCUGCAUUAGCUAGUUGGUAAGGUAACGGCUUACCAAGGCAACGAUGCAUAGCCGACCUGAGAGGGGUGUCGGCCAACCUGGAACUUGGACACGGUCCAGAACCCUAAGGGAGGGAGCCGGAGGGAAUCUUCCGGAAUUGGCGGAAGGCUGACCGAGCAAAGGCGCGGGAGUGAAUAAGGUCCUCCGAUCGUAAAACUCUUUUAUUAGGGAAGAACAUAUGUGUAAGUAACUGUGCACAUCUUGACGGUACCUAAUCAGAAAGCCACGGCUAACUACGUG
rnacentral:rRNA from 1 species